rnacentral:rRNA from 1 species
AUUGAACGCUGGCGGCAGGCCUAACACAUGCAAGUCGAGCGGAGCGGCGGACGGGCGAGUAAUGCCUAGGAGUCUGCCUGCUAGUUGGCGAUAACGUCCGGAAACGGGCGCUAAUUCCGCAUACUAUCAAAUGAGCCUCGGUCGGAUUAGCUAGUUGGUAGGGUAAAGGCCUACCAAGGCAAAGAUCCGUAACUGGUCUGAGAGGAUGAUCAGUCACACUGGAACUGAGACACGGUCCAGACUCCUACGGGAGGCAGCAGUGGUGAAUAUUGGACAAUGGGCGAAAGCCUGAUUCAGCCAUGCCGCGUGUGUGAAGAAGGUCUUCGGAUUGUAAAGCACUUUAAGUUGGGAGGCAUUACCAACAGAAGAAGAACCGGCUAACUUCGUGCCAGCAGCCGCGGUAAUUC